rnacentral:lncRNA from 1 species
GGGAGAAUCGCUUGAGUCCAGGAGACAGAGGUUGCUGGAGUACAGUGGUGCCAUCUCGGCUCACUGCAGCCUCCACCUCCCUGGUUCAAGCAAUUCUCCUGCCUCAGCCUCCCAAGUAACUGGUAUUACAGGUGCGUGCCACCAUGCCUGACUAAUUUUUGUACUUUUAGUAGAGACAGGGUUUCACCAUGUUGGCCAGGCUGGUCUUGAACUCCUGACUUCAUGUGAUCCACCCACCUUGGCCUCCCAAAGUACUGGGAUUAUAGGCAUGAGCCACCACGUCCAGCCUUAUCUUUCUUUUAACCAAGAAACAUGAUGCCGUAUCUUAAAAAGAGCACUAAGCCCUGAGCAGGGACUUAAGGGAUCGAGUCCCCAACCAAACUGAUUUUCUUACUCAAAAAGGAUUUUCAAAAAGGAUCAGAGGCUAUUUACAAUAUUAGUCAGAGGGGUUCAAUAAAAUAAAAAUAGGAAGUAAAAAAAAAAGACAAAUUAUUAUCUAAAUCUAACUGGUGUAAUUCCUAUAAUCAUGCAAUUAAAUUUUACUCUUGAGUUUCCUGGCAGCCAUGGUAAAAAGAGAAACACAUCAGGAUUUAUAAUUUUCAUCAUCCAAUUAUGGGAAGCAGGCAUGUUUGCCCCAGGAGAUGAACUCUUCUACUAAUUUAUAGCAUGUAUCCUUUCAUCUAGGGCCACUGAGCCAGUUGGUGAGUCAACGGGUGAACCUAAGAUGCAAGGAUGUUUUCCAGGUGACUAUUUAAAAAGUAAAAAAUCCACCGACGUGAAUGACCUUGGCAAGAUCAUGUGGCUAGUCUAUACCUCAGUUUCCCCGUCUAUAAAGUGAGGAUAACGUCCCACCCCAUGUAACUGUGGUGAGGACCAACUGCAACACUGUGCCUGCGAGUCCCCUUGGAAAAGUGUCAGGUUCUACACAAAUGGAGAGUGGUCUGACCACACUCAGUGUCCCCAGCCCAGCCUUUCAGUGCCCUGGCCCUGGGGUGGGGGACAAUACCCUCCUUACCCCAUUCACUAGUCUUCAUGAAUAGCAAGGAGGCCAUAACAUAAUUUGGUCUAAACCCCUUCCUUUUUAAAAAAAUUAUGGCAAAAUAUGCAUAACAUUAAAUUUUCCAUUUUAAAGAUUUCUAAGUGGCUUGAAGUACAUUCACAAUGUGUAACCGCCACCUCCAGAACUUUUUCAUCACCCCAAACUGAAACUCUGUACCCACUAAACAAUAACUCCCCAUUCCCCCUGUCCCCAGCCCCUGGUAACCUCUAUUCUACUUUUUUUUUUUUCCUCUGUGGAUUAGCCUAUUCUAAGUAUCUCUUUUAAGUAGAAUCAUACAGUAUUUGUCCUUUUGUGUCCAGCGCCCUCAUUUUUUGAGAUAAGGAAUCAGGUCCAGAGAAGGCAGUGGCUCACCCAAGGUCACACAGCAAACCACAGGCAGAGCCAAGACCAGAACCCAGGUUUCCUGACUCCCAACAGGUCUUGCAUCCCCAGUAGUGAAUGAGACACUGCUUCGACUUUCUGUAAUCUUGGUUUAGCCCCUUCCUCUCUCUGGGCUCAGUCUGUUUCCUACCACUCACCCAUUCUUUCUUUAUCAUCUCCCUCCAAAGUCUCUUGUCCUCCUGCCUCCUUUUCUCCUUGGCUGGUUCCUACCAGCAGAUGGAGUGGCCCUGGCCCAUGCCAGAUUUUCUUCUUCUGGGUCUGGGGCUCACUGUAGAAUUCAGCCCUCAGUCCUCCCAGGAUGUUCUUCCCAGCACUGCUCCCUCCUGCGGAUUUUCCUGUAACCUCAGUAACUCGCUUCCCAUCCCCCUGCUUCCUACCAGGGAAGCCUUCCUGUCGCGUCUGUGGUUUCCCAGCUCUGAUAUUUGCUCUCAAAUGUGGUGGUGUCCUGGUUCUGUGUUUAUUUAUUUUGUGUUUUCUCACACCAAAAAAAAAAAAAAAAAAAAAAAAAAAG